rnacentral:rRNA from 1 species
GUUUUUCGCUUCAAGAUGAGCCUGCGUCAGAUUAGCUAGUUGGUGAGGUAACGGCUCACCAAGGCAACGAUCUGUAACUGGUCUGAGAGGAUGAUCAGUCACACUGGAACUGAGACACGGUCCAGACUCCUACGGGAGGCAGCAGUAGGGAAUAUUGCACAAUGGAGGAAACUCUGAUGCAGCGACGCCGCGUGAGCGAUGAAGGAUUUCGGUCUGUAAAGCUCUGUCGUAAGGGAAUAAAAAAAUG